UCAAAAAGAAAACCUAAGGGAAAAAAAAGAAAAAAAAUAAACUCUCUGCGCCGUUCUGUGCACUGAAGGCGCUUGAGUGAUCUCCGAUCCAAGCCUGGUCUCCGAUGACGACGGAGAAGGCUCGAAUCUCGUCACAAGGUACUUUCUACCCUUUUUUAUUACUGUUUCUUCCCUUAAUAAACGACCAGUAGAUGCAAAAUAGAAAAAGAAACGAAGGGAAAAGAGAAAAAAAACGACUUGCGAAUAAUAAAAAAACCCAGAAAUCACCUUCUUUGUAUUUUGAUUUUUGUAUUCUGAAUGCGUAUAUGUUACAGCAUACUCUUGGUAUUUUUUAUAGUCUCUAUUUACAGAAAAAAUGAAAAAUAAAAAUAAAAAUCCAAACAAAUCGCCCCCGCUCUGUUAUCUUUGCUUUUUUCUCUGCCAUUUUUGUGUGCCGUUGCUAUCUGUUUUACUGCUCAUUAGUUUGUCUCUUGCAGGUACGGUGUGCAGAGGUGCGGACGUGGCACGUACGGAGGCGAAGGCGCGCGCGUACGAGGGCUCGUCACGUGCGGAGAGAGAGCGAAGGGACGUCACUGCUGCGGCGCUGGGAACCCUUGCUGCUAGGGUUUCCAUGUGUCGUUUUGUGUUUUGGGCUAAUUUGGGUCAUUGGGUAUUUAGGCUAAUGGGCCGAAUUGGGAUGGUAAUUUGGGCCAUUGUAAUUGGGUUGUUUUUGGACUUGGGUUUGAUGUAAUUUGGGUUAUUGGGCUCGGUGGGUCUGAGUCUGUAAAUGGACAUUUAUUUAAUUGAAUUUGGGUUUAAUUUUAAUAUUUGUAAAACUAGGUUGUUAAUAGUGGAUAUUUUAAUUUAAUGUAUUUAUUUUUUUCUUUUUGGUACUUAUUGGGCCGGGAAAAAUGGGUUAUUACAUCAGUUACAAAAGGAAUUGGAGUGUGUUCUUCAUCAUGAAGAGUUGCUUUGGAAACAAAAAGCUAGGUGCGACUAGAUGCAGUUUGGAGAUUGAAACACUAAGUUUUUCCAUUCUCGCAUGAUUCAAAAAAAGAAUUGUAAUAAAAUUUCUGCCUUGAAGAAUGAUGAAGGCGAUUGGAUUUUUGAGGAUGAGCGGCUCCGGACUAAGGUUGUUAGAUUCUUCCAGAAUCUGUAUAGUGAAGUCCCGAUUUGUAUAAAACCUUUAC
rnacentral:lncRNA from 1 species